AUUGAACGCUGGCGGCAUGCCUUACACAUGCAAGUCGAACGGUAACAGGUCUUCGGAUGCUGACGAGUGGCGAACGGGUGAGUAAUACAUCGGAACGUGCCCGAUCGUGGGGGAUAACGGAGCGAAAGCUUUGCUAAUACCGCAUACGAUCUACGGAUGAAAGCAGGGGACCGCAAGGCCUUGCGCGGACGGAGCGGCCGAUGGCAGAUUAGGUAGGUGGGGGGAUAAAAGCUUACCAAGCCGACGAUCUGUAGCUGGUCUGAGAGGACGACCAGCCACACGGGGACGGAGACACGGCCCAGACUCCUACGGGAGGCAGCAGUGGGGAAUUUUGGACAAUGGGCGAAAGCCUGAUCCAGCCAUGCCGCGUGCAGGAUGAAGGCCUUCGGGUUGUAAACUGCUUUUGUACGGAACGAAAAGCCUCUUUCUAAUAAAGAGAGGUCAUGACGGUACCGUAAGAAUAAGCACUGGCUAACUACGUGCCAGCCGCCGCCGUAAAAC
rnacentral:rRNA from 1 species